rnacentral:rRNA from 1 species
UGGGGAAUCUUAGACAAUGGGCGCAAGCCUGAUCUAGCCAUACCGCGUGAGUGAUGAAGGCCUUAGGGUCGUAAAGCUCUUUCGCCAGGGAUGAUAAUGACAGUACCUGGUAAAGAAGUCCCGGCUAACUCCGUG